rnacentral:lncRNA from 1 species
GAGCUGUCUGUCUUUUCCCUCUGGACCGCACACUGAGCUGAGAAGGGUAGGGGCAUGCUCUACAGGCAGUACACAUGCCAGACUUUGGAGACCAGUAUGCACAGAGAAUCCAGCCAUUCUCACAAACACUCUGUGCUGGGGGGCAGAGCAUCCGGUGUCUUGUCUGGAGGUCUCCUCCUAGAAUGUUGGUUACCUAGCAACAAGCU